rnacentral:tRNA from 1 species
GCCGUCUUAGCUCAGUUGUAGAGCGCGUGGCUUUUAACCACGUGGCCGUGGGUUUGAUCCCCACAGACGGCG